GCAGGUCAGAAGCUAUGUAGAGGAGCCAUCGGCAGGGCUCUGUAAAACCGUCGGCUCAGCCUACGCAGGUUCAAGUCCUGCACCUGCCACCA
rnacentral:tRNA from 1 species